rnacentral:rRNA from 1 species
AAGGGCAUGUCUUAGUAAGACUAUCUCACAGUGAAACUGCGAAUGGCUCAUUAAAUCAGCUAAGGUUCCUUAGAUCGUACAAUCCUACUUGGAUAACUGUAGUAAUUCUAGAGCUAAUACAUGCAACAAGCUCCGACCUUCCCUGGGAAGAGCGCUUUUAUUAGAUCAAAACCAAUCGGUUCCUUCGGGUUCCGUCCAAUUGGUGACUCUGGAUAACUUUGUGCUGAUCGCAUGGCCACGAGCCGGCGACGUAUCUUUCAAAUGUCUGCCCUAUCAACUUUCGAUGGUACCUGAUAUGGCUACCAUGGUUGCAACGGGUAACGGGGAAUGGGGCGGGGGCGGCGGGCCGGGCGCGGGGCGCGGGCGGGCGACACAA